GUCCUCAUAGCUCAACGGAUAGAGUAGUGGUCUUCGGAACCAUUGAUGGGGGUUCGAUUCCCUCUGAGGACA
rnacentral:tRNA from 1 species